rnacentral:misc_RNA from 1 species
UGAGUUUUGAAAUUUUUGAUUUGACUAUUUUGAAGCUAUCUGCUGUCCAAUUUCACGUAUUUGUGCUUACAGAUGUUUUACUUGAGUGUAAUUGACUACAGUUUAAUAUUGUUCUGUUUGGACAACCUGAAAUGGGUGCUGAACUGCAGUAUUGUAUUGUCUGCGCCUUUGUUCACUGAAAGCGAUUGAAUAAUAGUGUUUUCCUGGCUUAGAAGCAAAGCAAUUCGCUUAUGCAACCAGCCAAAGAAAUGAUGAUACUUUUGUCAUGAACUUGCUUAUUUUUCUCAUGUCAGCUCUUCAGUAUAGUAGUG